rnacentral:rRNA from 1 species
UACGAAGGGGGCUAGCGUUGUUCGGAAUCACUGGGCGUAAAGCGCACGUAGGCGGAUGUGCCAGUCAGGGGUGAAAUCCCGGAGCUCAACUCCGGAACUGCCUCUGAUACAGCACGUCUUGAGUUCGAGAGAGGUGGGUGGAAUUCCUAGUGUAGAGGUGAAAUUCGUAGAUAUUCGGAAGAACACCAGUGGCGAAGGCGACUUACUGGUCCAUUACUGACGCUGAGGCUCGAAAGCGUGGGGAGCAAACAGG